rnacentral:misc_RNA from 1 species
AACGCACCUUGCGCUCUAUGGCAAUCCGUAGAGCAUGCCUGUUUGAGUGCCAUGAAAUCUCCCACCCCAAGCGGUUUUUAAAUGAAACGGCUUGGCGGAUGGGGUCUGGAUGGGUGCCUCUGCCUGCGCUACCUAGCACAGGCUCGCCCGAAAUGCAUGCGCGCCUUGAGACACUUUGCAUCCGCCUCUCUGUUUGGGAGGAGGCGGCCAAGCAGUGUUUUUCUCCUGGCAGGGUAUGAUACGUCAUUUGGUAUGUCGCCUAAAGGAGGAAUGUUUAGUUGUGUCUGUGUGUGCUUCAACCUUGCCGCUGUGGCACAUCCCAAUUUCCCUUCUGGUCUCAAAGCAGGGAGGAUCACCCGCUGAACU